rnacentral:rRNA from 1 species
GAUCAUGGCUCAGGAUGAACGCUGGCGGCGUGCUUAACACAUGCAAGUCGAACGAAGCACUUAAGAUUGAUUCUUCGGAUGAUUUCUUUUGUGACUUAGUGGCGGACGGGUGAGUAACGCGUGGGUAACCUGCCUCACACAGGGGGAUAACAGUUAGAAAUGACUGCUAAUACCGCAUAACCCGAUAGGAUCGCAUGAUCCAGACGGAAAAGAUUUAUCGGUGUGAGAUGGACCCG